CUUUUUUACUCGAGGAACUGCCUUCUGCUCCAAGCGCUAUUUCAUUCUUCUCCGACGUCAAUGUCUUGCUUGAAUUACCGCUCUUACUUCUCCCGAAAUUCAUUCCUGCAAAUAGUGAACUUUGAAAUCCACUUUUCUCAGACAUGAUGGAAAUAUUUAAUAACAUAAAAAAGACAAAUAAAAUUGCUUUCAAAAGUUGUUCAAGAAAAGGAUCAGUGGGAUCAGUUUAUGAAUCGCAUGUGAUUAUGUGAAUAGUGCCUGGUGGCAUACUUCAUGUUAGAAUGUUUAUUUUGUACCACAAAAAUUUCGUUGUCAAAAAUAGCACGCAACCUCGUAC
rnacentral:lncRNA from 1 species